AACGUCAGCGCAACUGCUACGUCUUCACAAGGCCUUCACAAGGCAACAUUUUAACGCUUGGAAUCAACAGCCGUGCAUCUCGGGGACCCAGUUUUACGCGGAAACCGGAAGCGGAAGUACGUGCUUUGAAUCAGCAGCGGGCAUCCUCGGGGACCCAGUGUGACGCGGAAACCGGAAGCGGAAGUACGCGCGUUCUCCGCGUCGCCCUAGGACCCCGAGGAUAAAAGGCGUGUGAAUAAUUACGUACUUGCAUCCGGGACCUGAACACCACGUGCUUGCUUGCCAGUCUUGAUGAUGUUACUGCUGCUGGUGAAUCCACGGUCCUGAUGAGUAACAGAAACCACAGAGAGAAUGUUAUGAACAGAGACGUGUAGGAAAAAAAUGGGGGCACAGCUGCGCCCCUACUGAUCAUUUCCUUAUAAUUUUUAAUUUGUGGCACAUGUCCCCAGUCACCCAAUCCCCUGCUACGGCCCUUAUAAAUCAUCAGAAACCAUUACCCUAAGUAUAUUUAUUUAGUUAUGAACUAUCAGACACCAGCUAGUAUAUUUUAUGAGCCAUCAGAAACCAUAGAUUUAGUAAGAGUAUGAGCUAUCAAAAACAAUAGUUUAAGUGACUUACCCAAGAGCAAGAACUAGAAUGCUGUAUGUGUUUUUAGGUUAUUUUCUCAUGAAAAAAACAGUUCAAGUUGUAAGAAGUUUUAGUUAUCCCAAAUUAGCAAAAGGAGAGGUUUGACAGUUGCGCUGACGGUUCGGGCAUUAGCACUUCGCCGGAGCAAAAGAAAAGCUAUGAGGAAGGGCUAACGCUCGAAACGUGAGUGCAACUACUUUGCUUUACAGAGGCGUUUAUCAUACCUUUUCAACCUUGUGUUGAUUCAUACCUAGCUUAAUGAUGGGAGGUUUUGCUCAAUGACAAAGUAGGUUGGGGGGUUAUUUAAUGUAACAUUUGGCUUUCUGACUCACACAGACAUAAAAUAUCUAAAUACCUCGAUAAUAUGUGCACAUGAUGUUUCCCCAAAACCAAAAGGAUUUUUUUUUACUUUAUGCCAGUACUUUUCUCUAUUUUGAUGGGGACUUUGC